UUCGCAAUGCCCGAAAGGGUGACGAAGCGACGCCGCGUGUGGGAAGAAGGCCUUCGGGUUGUAAACCACUGUCGGGAGUUAAGAAAUGCAAGGAUAUUAAUAGUGUCUUUGUUUGACUAAGGCUCCGGAGGAAGCCACGGCUAACUCUGUGCCAGCAGCCGCGGUAAUACAGAGGCGGCAAGCGUUGUUCGGAAUUAUUGGGCGUAAAGAGCACGUAGGCGGCUAUGUAAGUCGGUUGUGAAAGCCUUCCGCUCAACGGAAGAACAGCAUCCGGUACUACAUGGCUUGAGUGCGGGAGGGGAGAGUGGAACUUCUGGUGGAGCGGUGAAAUGCGUAGAUAUCAGAAGGAACGCCGGCGGCGAAAGCGGCUCUCUGGCCCAUAACUGACGCUGAGUGUGCGAAAGCUAGGGGAGCAAACGGGAUUAGAUACCCCGGUAGUCCUAGCCGUAAACGAUGGGCACUAAGUAGAGGGGUUUUA
rnacentral:rRNA from 1 species